GUUAGAAUACGCGCUUGUCACGCGCGUGAUCGGGGUUCGAUUCCCCGCAAGAGAG
rnacentral:tRNA from 1 species